rnacentral:rRNA from 1 species
CUGGGACUAAUAUCCGAUAGAUUAGGAGGCCUGGAAUGGUUCUUAGUCGAAAGGGCUUUGAAACCAUGCUUUUCAACGUUGCCUAAGGAUGGGGCCGCGCCCGAUCAGGCUGUUGGUGGGGUAAUGGCUCACCAAACCUAUAACCGGUGCGGGCCGUGAGAGCGGGAGCCCGGAGAUGGGCACUGAGACAAGGGCCCAGGCCCUACGGGGCGCAGCAGUCGCGAAAACUCCGCAAUGCGCGAAAGCGUGACGGGGCUACCCCGAGUGCCGUCCGCUGAGGAUGGCUUUUCCCCGGUGUAAUGAGCCGGGGGAAUAAGGAGAGGGCAAGUCUGGUGUCAGCCGCCGCGGUAAUACCAGCUCUCCGAGUGGUAGGGACGAUUAUUGGGCUUAAAGCGUCCGUAGCCGGCUUAGCAAGUCUCCUGUUAAAUUCAGCGACCUAAUCGUUGAGCCGCGGGAGAUACUACUAGGCUAGGAGGCGGGAGAGGCCGACGGUAUUCUCGGGGUAGGGGUGAAAUCCUAUAAUCCCGGGAGGACCACCAGUGGCGAAGGCUGUCGGCUAGAACGGGCUCGACGGUGAGGGACGAAAGCUGGGGGAGCGAACCGGAUUAGAUACCCGGGUAGUCCCAGCUGUAAACGAUGCGGGCUAGGUGUUGGGGUGGCUACGAGCCACUUCAGUGCCGCAGGGAAGCCAUUAAGCCCGCCGCCUGGGGAGUACGGCCGCAAGGCUGAAACUUAAAGGAAUUGGCGGGGGAGCACCACAAGGCGUGAAGCUUGCGGUUCAAUUGGAGUCAACGCCGGA